rnacentral:lncRNA from 1 species
UUGAGUCUUGCUGGAGGAUGGAGCUAGGGGCUGAGAAAGCUAGGGCAGAGCUCUAGUUCCCCGAAUUUUAGUGUGGGGGAGAGCUUGCUGUUGGGGAUCCAGACCUUAUAAAGGAGUUCUGGCCCACUUGUGAGAUUGGAGAGAAAGAUCUGAGGCUGUGACUCCAACGUCCUGGGGAAGAGGGAGCUUAAGAGACCCGCUUGAAGAUCCUGAGAGAAAGAAUGUGAGCCUGGGGAUGGGAGGGUCCUGAGCUCAGAGCAGGGGGACCUCCCUGCGCCUGAGGUCCGUGUCUGGGGACCUCUGCGCCUCACCUUCCAGAAUGCAAGGGGCGGGGUCACUCGGACUCGGUGGAAGAGGCCCCCGGACUUCCCUUCGGUGUGUCGGGUACAAGAUUUUGCAGCCUUUUAACGAGGAGGAAGCCCCGCCCACGGCUCCGCCUUCUGCCCGCACCUUGCUGCGGUGCGGCUGAACCCGCAAGCGCUCGAGGAGGGGCUCGAGCUGGAGUGACUUUAGGAGGAGGGGCUGGAGCCUCGGAAACCGAGGGCGGUGGGACCAGCCCUGGCUGAAGUCCCAAGGUGCUGCAAUAGGCUUGUUGUUAAGGUUGCAGAGGCUCGGCCGGUGCAGGUU